rnacentral:rRNA from 1 species
AGUGAACGCUGGCGGUAGGCCUAACACAUGCAAGUCGAACGGCAGCACAGUAAGAGCUUGCUCUUACGGGUGGCGAGUGGCGGACGGGUGAGGAAUAAAUCGGAAUCUACUUUUUCGUGGGGGAUAACGUAGGGAAACUUACGCUAAUACCGCAUACGACCUACGGGUGAAAGCAGGGGAUCUUCGGACCUUGCGCGAUUGAAUGAGCCGAUGUCGGAUUAGCUAGUUGGCGGGGUAAAGGCCCACCAAGGCGACGAUCCGUAGCUGGUCUGAGAGGAUGAUCAGCCACACUGGAACUGAGACACGGUCCAGACUCCUACGGGAGGCAGCAGUGGGGAAUAUUGGACAAUGGGCGCAAGCCUGAUCCAGCCGUACCGCGUGGGUGAAGAAGGCCUUCGGGUUGUAAAGCCCUUUUGUUGGGAAAGAAAAGCAGCAGGUUAAUACCCCGCUGUUCUGACGGUACCCAAAGAAUAAGCACCGGCUAACUUCGUG